rnacentral:rRNA from 1 species
CGAACGCUGGCGGCGUGCCUAAUACAUGCAAGUCGAGCGGACAGAUGGGAGCUUGCUCCCUGAUGUUAGCGGCGGACGGUGAGUAACACGUGGGUAACCUGCCUGUAAGACUGGGAUAACUCCGGAAAACCGGGGCUAAUACCGGAUGGUUGUUUGAACCGCAUGGUUCAAACAUAAAAGGUGGCUUCGGCUACCACUUACAGGUGGACCCGCGGCGCAUUAGCUAGUUGGUGAGGUAACGGCUCACCAAGGCAACGAUGCGUAGCCGACCUGAGAGGGUGAUCGGCACACUGGGACUGAGACACGGCCCAGACUCCUACGGGAGGCAGCAGUAGGGAAUCUUCCGCAAUGGACGAAAGUCUGACGGAGCAACGCCGCGUGAGUGAUGAAGGUUUUCGGAUCGUAAAGCUCUGUUGUUAGGGAAGAACAAGUACCGUUCGAAUAGGGCGGUACCUUGACGGUACCUAACCAGAAAGCCACGGCUAACUACGUGCCAGCAGCCGCGGUAAUACGUAGGUGGCAAGCGUUGUCCGGAAUUAUUGGGCGUAAAGGGCUCGCAGGCGGUUUCUUAAGUCUGAUGUGAAAGCCCCCGGCUCAACCGGGGAGGGUCAUUGGAAACUGGGGAACUUGAGUGCAGAAGAGGAGAGUGGAAUUCCACGUGUAGCGGUGAAAUGCGUAGAGAUGUGGAGGAACACCAGUGGCGAAGGCGACUCUCUGGUCUGUAACUGACGCUGAGGAGCGAAAGCGUGGGGAGCGAACAGGAUUAGAUACCCUGGUAGUCCACGCCGUAAACGAUGAGUGCUAAGUGUUAGGGGGUUUCCGCCCCUUAGUGCUGCAGCUAACGCAUUAAGCACUCCGCCUGGGGAGUACGGUCGCAAGACUGAAACUCAAAGGAAUUGACGGGGGCCCGCACAAGCGGUGGAGCAUGUGGUUUAAUUCGAAACAACGCGAAGAACCUUACCAGGUCUUGACAUCCUCUGACAAUCCUAGAGAUAAGACGUCCCCUUCGGGGGCAGAGUGACAGGUGGUGCAUGGUUGUCGUCAGCUCGUGUCGUGAGAUGUUGGGUUAAGUCCCGCAACGAGCGCAACCCUUGAUCUUAGUUGCCAGCAUUCAGUUGGGCACUCUAAGGUGACUGCCGGUGACAAACCGGAGGAAGGUGGGGAUGACGUCAAAUCAUCAUGCCCCUUAUGACCUGGGCUACACACGUGCUACAAUGGACAGAACAAAGGGCAGCGAAACCGCGAGGUUAAGCCAAUCCCACAAAUCUGUUCUCAGUUCGGAUCGCAGUCUGCAACUCGACUGCGUGAAGCUGGAAUCGCUUGUAAUCGCGGAUCAGCAUGCCGCGGUGAAUACGUUCCCGGGCCUUGUACACACCGCCCGUCACACCACGAGAGUUUGUAACACCCGAAGUCGGUGAGGUAACCUUUUAGGAGCCAGCCGCCGAAGGUGGGACAGAUGAUUGGGGU